AAAAAGAGUACACAUGUUUGAAUAUGCGCCUAUUAGUUGCCUCGUUAAAAACCUUGCAAGGAAAACCCAGUGGGACAAAACCUUGUAAGGGAAAAAGGAUGCAACGCGCAUUAACUCCCCCUGAAAAGAGCAUCAAUUCACAUCUAUGAGCAUUUGCAUUCCAAUCUUGUGCACCAUCUUCAAAACGAUCUUUUGUAGAGAUUUGAUA
rnacentral:lncRNA from 1 species